UUCUCCAGGGGCUUCACGACAUCUUUCUUUCACCUGAGGGCUUAACCACUCAGCCACUCCAUCGGUGCCCCCUCCGACUCCGAGCAUCCUUUGCGCCUGUCUUUGCCAUUUCCGUCGGCUCUCUGCCGUUUCCAGUCCCCAGAGUCUCUCCAAGGGAUUCCCCUGUUGGGGCCUCCACCCCGGAGGCCAAUUUUAAGGUGAUGCCAC
rnacentral:lncRNA from 1 species